GACGAACGCUGGCGGCGUGCUUAACACAUGCAAGUCGAACGAAAAGAGGGAAAGAGCUUGCUCUUUCCGGAAUUGAGUGGCAAACGGGUGAGUAACACGUAAACAACCUGCCUUCAGGAUGGGGACAACAGACGGAAACGACUGCUAAUACCGAAUAAGUUCCAAGGGCCGCAUGGCCCAUGGAAGAAAAGGUGGCCUCUACCUGUAAGCUAUCGCCUGAAGAGGGAUUUGCGUCUGAUUAGCUGGUUGGAGGGGUAACGGCCCACCAAGGCGACGAUCAGUAGCCGGUCUGAGAGGAUGAACGGCCACACUGGAACUGAGACACGGUCCAGACUCCUACGGGAGGCAGCAGUGGGGAAUCUUCCGCAAUGGGCGAAAGCCUGACGGAGCAACGCCGCGUGAGUGAUGACGGCCUUCGGGUUGUAAAACUCUGUGAUCCGGGACGAAAAGGCAGAGUGCGAAGAACAAACUGCAUUGACGGUACCGGAAAAGCAAGCCACGGCUAACUACGU
rnacentral:rRNA from 1 species